CGGCCAGACUCCUACGGGAGGCAGCAGUGAGGAAUAUUGGUCAAUGGGCGAGAGCCUGAACCAGCCAAGUCGCGUGAGGGAAGACUGCCCUAUGGGUUGUAAACCUCUUUUGUCAGGGAGCAACGCCGGCUACGUGUAGCCGGACUGAGAGUACCUGAAGAAAAAGCAUCGGCUAACUCCGUGCCAGCAGCCGCGGUAAUACGGAGGAUGCGAGCGUUAUCCGGAUUUAUUGGGUUUAAAGGGUGCGCAGGCGGAAUGUCAAGUCAGCGGUAAAAUUUCGGGGCUCAACCCCGUCGUGCCGUUGAAACUGGCGUUCUUGAGUGAGCGAGAAGUAUGCGGAAUGCGUGGUGUAGCGGUGAAAUGCAUAGAUAUCACGCAGAACUCCGAUUGCGAAGGCAGCAUACCGGCGCUCAACUGACGCUCAUGCACGAAAGCGUGGGUAUCGAACAGGAUUAGAUACCCCCGUA
rnacentral:rRNA from 1 species